rnacentral:tRNA from 1 species
UGCAGGGUGGUCUAACGGUAAGACACAAGGCUCAUAACCUUGAGAUUGGCGGUUCGAUUCCGCCCCCUGCACGCA